CUAGGUGAAACCAACUUUAAGACUGCAUUUUACAUUUAAAAUUUUGACACUUCUUUCUAAAAUCAUUAGUUCUAAGAUGAUUUUAGAGCACCUGCACCUUUUUGUGAAGGAUGAUGAUUUACUAUUCCCUAAACAUUGCAUGUUAUAAAAGAGUGUAUUGUGUAGAGUGGUUCCUUUAUUUUCUAAGAGAGCUAUGUUCAAUGUGAAAAUUAUUUCCUUGUAUACUCUGUAUGGGGCAUGGAGUGCUUUGCCAUUUGUAAACAGCCAUAGUCAAUAUGAAAUGAUCAGGCCUUCUUUAAGGAUGUUUCAUGUUUUUCUGAAAUUACUUAGUAUUUAAAUGGUUGAGUACACUGCAGAAAAUUAUCCUUUUCAUUUAAUUCAUUUUUAAAAUGACAAGUUAACCACAGGAGGUUUUAUUUAUUGAGAUGGCAUGUCCAUUUGUGUUGAUUAAUUUAUUUUUUUAAUUGAAAAGAACAGCAAGAGAAUCACAGCUUACUAUUUUUUCUUCUGAAAUGUUGAUUGAUUUAUUUUCUUUUUACUGCUAGCAAAGUGUCCUGUGGAGAUUUAGCAAUGCUGUUUCUACCUAAAAGUUGCACAUUUCAUAGAAAAUAAAAGGGCUGAUAUAUCAACCUUUUUAUAUUUCAUUCUUUUUGCAGCAGAACUGCAUACUUUCCAAAAGAAACAAGGUUUUUAGAAAGGUUCCUAAUUCAGUCAUGAUCAUUUUUUCUUGUGUUCCCCAGUUAUGUCAUCUAUAUCUUCUAGCUUUUUCACUUUAAAUUCCACCCUUCCAACAGACACUACUGAUUCUUUUUAUGAUGUCAUCAGGACACUAUGCCAAGAGGUCUUGUCUAAAUUGGCUUUGUCAACUAUCUGGAGGUUAUGAUAGGGUACCUGAUAAUAUCCAAAGGAACUAUACUAGAAUCUAAUAAGUACCUCUUUUUCCUUUAGGAUAGCAGGAUUUUUGUCUUUAUGGAAAAGUCAUGAAGAAUUUAAGUAUAUAGUGGAUGACACUUAUUUAAAUAUUUAAAAAAAAUUUUACCUAAGUAGGACACCUGUCCUCAUUGCAAUAAAAUAAUUUAAUGAGUAAUAUCUUCUGUAAAUUAUAUUAAUCUGGGGUCUAGCUAGUAUGAUUUUAAUAUUAUUUGAGUGAAAAGAUAAUUUUCAAGGAAAGAGCAAUCAUCAAUCUAUUUCUUUUAAAGCCAUGUAAUACUCAAUUUGUGUCAAGAACAAAUUAGUUGCCCUUUAAAAUAUGCACAUGGGUGCUUUCUGAGGCACAGGAGUAUGCCAAGCUUUAACAUUUCAUACUUGAUAAUUCUUCUCUAAGGGAAGAUUAAUUCUCAAUGCAGAUAGAGAAAUUGAAGUACCAAUGAUAAAUAACUGACUUUAAAUCACAUCAUUUUUUUUUCCUACUGAUUUGCUGGCACUAGCUUUCAGGUAUUAAUAUCCAGCCCCAUAUCUAAGGUAACAAAUCUGAAUCUCUCAAUUUGAGAAUCUGUGUGUGUGGUUAGGAAUAAAUUCCAAAUAACCACCCUCUAAUGGUGAUUACUG
rnacentral:lncRNA from 1 species